rnacentral:lncRNA from 1 species
CACUGAGGGCUCCAAUGGAAUCCACAAAGCAAACGCCAGAGAGGACAUUAAGUGGAAACCCAGCCUAAAACUGAGGGGCCUGUCCAUUCCAGACUGGAUCCUGGGCUCAGCUGUUCUGGCUUGCAAUGAUGCCACUGGUGAUGAGGUCUCCAGUGGCAGCUUUUAUGACAGAGCUCCCUGGCUGGUUCCUGUUUUCUGGGAUCUUUCUGCCCGUGACUCUGCUGCUGCUCCUUCUCAUUGCUUACUUCAGAAUCAAAUUGAUGGAGUUUAAUGCAGAAGUGGCACAGGCUUCUGAUCCCCAAGACAUUAACCGAGAUGACUAUCUCCAGUACCAGAGACGGAAGAAGCAAUACGACAUUCAGAGAUCAGCCACAAAAACAAAAUGAGUUUAAAGGGAUUCGCUGGGCUGGCAGAUAACCAGCAACAUAUUGCUCAUAUCUAGGCACAUAAAACAAAACCUCGAGGGAAACAAAAUGGUAAGAGGUUUGUCCUGUAUGCUAUCCGGCACAUAAAUAGCAACUGUCAUCCGUAGGGCCUCAUCACUUCAUUUUAUCUUCUGUGAGAUGCAGCUAAACAACAGUUUUUCUGAUUCACCGUCAACAGUGGUUUACUAAAAUACAGUGUGAAUUUUUAACAAGAAUUCUCCCUCUUUUUUUAAUACUUGGCUUCAGGGAAGCAAACAUCGAAUGAGUCUAUUUGAGUUUGGUGGUUUUAUAACUUCCAGGGACAAGUGUAAUUAUAUACAAUAUUUACAGAAUACCAUUCAAGCUGGAGAGUCUCAAUGGUGUGGUUUAAAAAAAAACCAUAUACACAUGUUUGAAUUAAUAUUUACAUAAUCUAAAAGAAGCACAAGAUACUACUUUGAUUUUACAUGUGAAGAAAACGUGGCAGCGAGAUCAAAUGUCUUGCAAAACAUGAGAAGGUCAGAAAGAACUCCUUGAACAACCCCAUCCAGGCCAGACUGGUGCUUCCUCUCCUGUGUUAAACUUCUAACAAAUAACAUCUAUCUCCUUCAAUAGUAUUAUUACAAUCCUGCUUCAUGUAUUCCUUCCUUUGUGUGAUUUUAUAAAUUAGAGCAACAUAGUGAAAAAAUAAAGCAAUUCCUCAAAAUAAAUGAAAUUUCUCA